AGUGCCUCUAAUUCCUGAGUCGCAGUAAGCCAUUACCAUUUAACUCUUUUCUGCCACCCUCCAGACUAAAGUGAAAAUGUGGCCUAGUCCUGGCUUUCACUAUUCAACAACUCUCCCACUAUUGAAAGUAAUGCUGGCACACAAAGAAUUGUAUAGUCGGCAGCCCACAUAGCCUUAACUCAUUCCUUAUGCUAUGAAAAGGACCCAUGACCACAAUAAUUGUCCUUGGGCUAGAACUCAAGCAGAUAGGGCGGGGUUUAUGCAGCUUUCAUAUUCAAAUCUUAAAUCAGCAAAUCAAAGAAAAAAUUAAGAGAUUUUUUAUUUAAUUCCAGCAAAGGCCCAUUUCAAAGGGAUUGAUACCUGCAAAUACUUAUAUACCCAUACUCAACUUCAGAUGAAAUGUCAUCUUGCAGCAAAUUAUUUUGGACAUCUAAAAAUUGCAUUUAGCAAGAUAUUUGUUCUUAACCCAGCCCCAAUGUUACCACUUCAAGUCAGCAGAGCAACUGAUUAAUUUUUU
rnacentral:misc_RNA from 1 species